UCAGACGAUGCGUCAUGCAUAUCAAUAAGCGGAGGAAAAGAAACUAACAAGGAUUCCCUUAGUAACGGCGAGUGAAGCGGGAAGAGCUCAAAUUUGAAAUCUUCAAGGUUUUACCUUGACGAAUUGUAGUUUAAAGAAGUGUUUUCUGCUGAAGUUUUGGUAAAAGUUCUUUGGAAUAGGACAUCAUAGAGGGUGAGAAUCCCGUAUGAUUGACCGAUUAUUGUCAGCUUUGUGAUACACUUUCAAAGAGUCGGAUUGUUUGGGAAUGCAGUCCAAAAUGGGAUGGUAAAUUUCUAUCUAAGGCUAAAUAUUGGCGAGAGACCGAUAGCGAACAAGUACCGUGAGGGAAAGAUGAAAAGAACUUUGAAAAGAGAGUUAAAUAGUACGUGAAAUUGUCAAAAGGGAAGCGUUUAACACCAGUGUUGUUUUCUGAAAAUCAACCUCUGUUAGCUUUAUGCAUGUUUGUUUAGACCUAAUCAGCUAUCUUGCAUGUUCUAUUGUUUGCAGUGGUGCACUUUUCAGUUUACAGGUCAACAUCAGUUUUUUUUACCGUAAAAAAGUUAAAGAAAGGUAGCUCAUGGCUCCGGUCGUGAGUGUUAUAGUCUUUUUCCUAUGCGGUAGGAGAGACUGAGGUCUGCAGUGUAGGACUAUUCGGGCUAGAUACUCAGGUGCUAUGUGAUACCAUUUCAUAAACAACUUGUUGAUUAUGUUUUGUCUAUUGCAUACUCGCUUGUACUAUCAUACCUACGCUUAGGAUGUUGACUGAUAUGUAGUCGUA
rnacentral:rRNA from 1 species